GUCUGGUGGUUGGCGACCAUACAUAUAACAAGGGGAUUGAAACUGGAUGAUCACUGUGGUCCUUUUCAACCCAGGCCAUUCUGUGAUUCUUUGAAGGCGUUCAUAUAUUGGUUACCUGAGUAGACCAUUAGGGUUUGCUUUUCCAUGGACACAUGUCUCUUCUGGGUAAAGGCCACAGGAAUCAUGGGGAGAGGGUGAAGCUUUGUGGAGAUAGGAGUGAGCAAAUGGUAUGACAGGCAGGCAUGUAUAGAGGAGCUGGGUAUAUUGUGGUCGUAUAACAUAGAGGAACUAGCUUCAUCUGCAGUGAUGGAAGCAAGGAAAGACUUCUGACAGGAAAAAAAAAAUCAAAACAGAAAAACAGACAGGAAAUAUGUAGUUAUGCUGCUCACGUGUUUUAAAAUGUGAAGACAGUUAUUUUGGUUAUUGCAGUGCUUAGCAGCUCUUAUCACGGAUCAGAUAUCUUUUGUGUUCCAGGCUGUAGUCACAGAAGAAAAAAAGGUGGAAUUUUCCCCCAGGAGUUACAAACUAAACAACAGGUGACAAGUGAAGGUAAACAACAAAGAAGUAGUAGGCAGCAUGACAAUAUUUAGAAUUGUACCUAAGCAGAACAAAAAGCAAAAAAUGUCUUUGGGGAUGAUUUAAAAGAAAACAGUUAUGUACCUCUUCAGGUAUUUGUAAAGCACCCAUGAACAUGAGCAGUUCUUGUUUGAAUAUCAACAAGAGGAUAAUGGAUGCUCAUGUCAUUUUGUUGACUGGGCACAAAAAUUAACUUUUCAUUACUGAAUGAUAGAUAGUGGUACUAAAGGAAGAAAAAAAAAAAGCAGUCUUUUAAAAGAAUGUUAGCAGAGCAAGAUUGCACUGGUAGAAGCAAAUAAGGGGAUGCUUCAAGAGCUGAGAAGUGAGAUGAAAGCUCAUGCAAUCCUUUGCUGUAGUUGUAGAUGGCAUAAUUGAGUCUUAGGCCAAAGAAAACAUAAGACUCUUGAGAGAGCUCAUAUUUCUUUAUUAGCUUGUUUUUGGAAUCUGUUUUGCCUUUACAUGGGAAAAAUUGUGACCUGAGUAUUUCUCCCUCUCGCUGUGCAUGGAAGGAGCUGUGUUUUGUCUGACAAAAUAUCUGAAUUCCAUAAUUCUCUCUUUUUAAGCAUUCAUUUGAAUGUAAUUGGAGGCUUUAACAUUUUAUGAGACAUCUUCGGAUUGGUAAUUUCUCUAGGGAAAGAGCCCAGAUAUCUAAGCAAAAAUGCUUGCCAUCCACUAAGGGGCCGCUGACACAGAGAUGAGCAGUGAGUUGUGAACCUGUACGCUUUGGACUGGGAGACAUUUAAUUCUUGUUUUCAACAGGAACCAGCAAAAUUAAACAGAUGAAAACGGAGGAGUGAGCAUUAAGCAUAAGACUGAGACAAUAUUCUCACCUAUGUGCUGUGCACAUGUAGUAAUUUGUAACGAACAAUCUGCUAGUAUGUUUUCCCACUUAACUCCUGCACAAAUUCUGCUAGUGGCGGGACAGCUAGCAAUAGUCAACAUAAUUUCAGAUUGCAAUUUCAUUUGUUUCAACUUCAGUACAAGACUAGAGUCUGUCUGAUACUUCUGCCAGCCCUAACAGCUUUCUCAUUUUUCUGUAUCAGUAGCAAUUCUAGCAGAACGGGAAGGCUGCACAGUGCUGAUCAUACAUCACAAAGCAUUUCUUACGAAGUUCAGCUGAGUCACCAAAAUGCCUCCAACAAAAAUUGCAUCCCAUCUGUCUUUUCACACAGAACCAGGAAGUGUGAAUGAACUACUUCCAGAUCUUGAUUGUUGGUUAUGUUUUGUCUUACACUGAAAGAAUGAGAUGUAGCACUGAAUUUGUUGCCCUUACCUACAUCGAACAACAGGAGAUACAGAAAGGAAAUACCAUCUCAGAUAUUACAAGACUGGAACAUGCAUUCAUGAAACAGAUGCCCGGGGUCAUUGCGUGAAGAAUGGGAUUCACUGUGCCUUUGCUCAUGGGCCGCAUGACCUUAGACCUCCAGUAUAUGACAUAAGAGAACUUCAGGCACAGGAAACUUUACAGAAUGGGCAGCUAGGAUGUGGUGAAGGCAUUCCAGAUCUGCAACCAGGGAAUUUAGCAAGUCAAGCAAUGAUUGAGAAGAUCCUUAGUGAAGAUCCAAGAUGGCAGGACACAAAUUUUGUACUAGCUGGCUACAAGACAGAGCAGUGCACAAAGCCACCCAGGCUCUGCCGCCAGGGCUACGCGUGUCCACACUACCACAACAGCCGCGACAGGAGGCGGAAUCCCAGAACAUUCAAAUACAGGUCUACUCCUUGCCCCAGUGUAAAACAUGCAGAUGAAUGGGGUGAACCUUCAAGGUGUGAAAGUGGGGAUAGCUGUCAAUACUGUCAUUCUCGUACAGAGCAGCAAUUUCAUCCUGAGAUAUACAAAUCUACAAAGUGCAAUGAUAUGCGCCAGACAGGUUACUGCCCUCGUGGCCCAUUUUGUGCAUUUGCACAUGGUGAAAUCAAACCAAGUGCUCACCUGUUCUCAACAGACAGCAUAGGAAUCACAAAUGAAUGGAGCAGCAGUAUUAAUGCCACAAACUGUGUUACAAGUAACAGUGGGCAGUCUGGAAAUAUUUCCUGUUCUUCAAGUCCACCUGUAACAUCAAGUUCUGGUAGCAAUAGUUCUUUGUCACCCCUUGGACCUCUUUGUAGACAGAGAUCAUUAGCAAAUGGUGUUUUGUGUUCUGAGUCUAGCACUUCAGGUGUUUCUUCACCAACAUCCAGCUAUCCUAAAGCACCAGGUUUUGAACGAGAAGAUCAGGCAAAGCAGCGAAGCUUCUCAGCUGAGAAUCAGCAGAAAAAAAAUGAACAGGACAACAAGCAGAACCAUCUCAGUGUUUUUUCAGUGGUUAACCCACUUGCUUCAAGUAUUACUUCCAGUCUGGCCUCCAGUGUUGGAUCAGAUAGUUCAUCUCCUACAACUGUCUCUAUUAUCAGUACCCAAACUCUCCCAUUCUAUUCUGCUGGUAACACAGUUGAAUCAGUUAUAGGUUCAGCUUUAGAUAUACAUUUCAACGGUGUGAAUGUUGCAUCCAUAAAUAGAGAGUUGGAAGAUCAAGAAGGCAGUGACCUUGGAUUAGCAAGUAAAAGAUUACUGGAAAGUUCAGCACCUGUCAAUAUUCCAGGUUCUCUUGUUCGUUCCUCCUCUUUACAUUCAUCGUCAUCCCUUUCAACCUCUCCACUCAAUUCUCUUUCACAAUCACUUUCUCAGUCUUUUGUUUCAUCCACUAUGGUCCCCCACCAACAGCAGCCUCAGCCUUUGAAAUCAGAACAGAAUAUAUUGGGCACCUCUGCCUCUUCUCACAACUCUUUAGGUUUAAAUGGUGUUACAGGGAGCAUGUGGGACUUUGUAACUGGGAAUUUCUCUCCCAGCCCAUCCCCAGUUCUAAGCAGUGGCACUGCCCCCUCUGUAAGUUCAAACAGCAGUGGGAACGAACUGACUCGAGUUAGACAGGAACUUGAUGAUGCCAAGAGAAAACUGAAACAAUGGGAAGAAUCUUGGCAACAAGUAAAACAGGCGUGUGAUGCAUGGCAAAAAGAGGCUCAAGAAGCAAAUGAACGUGCUGAUGUUGCAUCUGCUGACAAACAACUCGCUCUUCAGAAGAAGGAAGCAGUGGAAAAUAAAUUAAAAAAGCUGAAGGUGCAAUUAGCUGCCUGCCUGUCUACUGCAUUACCUUACAUGGAAAACUAUGGAGACAUAGAAAAAAUAUCCUUGCCAAAGCUUCGCUCCUUACAAAGCCGACUGCACUUAGAUUUAGGAACAAUAGAUGAGAAUGUAGGUGGUGUGAGGUUCUGCACUAGGAGUUUGUAUAGUCAGAGAGGCCAGUACAGACUUGGAGCAUAGAAUCACUGGCAAUCGACGAGAGCUCUGGAGAUCAUCUGGUCCAGUGCCCCACUCAAACAGGGUCAACCUGAGCAGAUUGUUACAGCCUGGCCCAGAAUAUCUUCAAGGAUGGAGAUGCUGGAACAUCUGUGGGCAGCCUUGUCCAAUGUUUGACCACCCUCACUGUAAAAGUGGGAUUUCCUGUCCUUAUCAUUUGUGCCUGUUGCCUCUUCUUUCACUGGAUACCAUCAAGAGGAGACUGUAUCUUUUUUACUUCCUCCCACAAGGUGAUUUUUCAGCUUCAGUCAAAGAAGUGUAUAGUGUGUCAAGAAGGUGAUCGUAGCACUGUCCUGAAUCCGUGUCAACAUUACAUAC